rnacentral:misc_RNA from 1 species
UUUCCGUAGGUGAACCUGCGGAAGGAUCAUUACUGAGUGAGGGCCCCUCGGGGUCCAACCUCCCACCCGUGUUUAACGAACCUUGUUGCUUCGGCGGGCCCGCCUCACGGCCGCCGGGGGGCAUCUGCCCCCGGGCCCGCGCCCGCCGAAGCCACCUGUGAACGCUAUCUGAAGUAUGCAGUCUGAGACAAUUAUUAAAUUAAUUAAAACUUUCAACAACGGAUCUCUUGGUUCCC